AGUGAACGCUGGCGGUAGGCCUAACACAUGCAAGUCGAACGGCAGCACAGUAAGAGCUUGCUCUUACGGGUGGCGAGUGGCGGACGGGUGAGGAAUACAUCGGAAUCUACUUUUUCGUGGGGGAUAACGUAGGGAAACUUACGCUAAUACCGCAUACGACCUACGGGUGAAAGCAGGGGAUCUUCGGACCUUGCGCGAUUGAAUGAGCCGAUGUCGGAUUAGCUAGUUGGCGGGGUAAAGGCCCACCAAGGCGACGAUCCGUAGCUGGUCUGAGAGGAUGAGCGGCCACAGGGGAACUGAGACACGGCCCAAACUCCUAGGGGAGGCAGCAGUGGGGAAUCUUGCACAAAGGGCGCAAGGCUGACCGAGCAACGCCGCGUGGGUGAAGAAGGUGUUCGGGUUGUAAAACUCUUUUGUUGGAAAAGAAAAAGGGCGAGAGUAACCGCUGGUGCCUUGACGGUACCAAAACAGAAAGCCACGGCUAACUACGUG
rnacentral:rRNA from 1 species